rnacentral:lncRNA from 1 species
CCCUCUGGGAGGCGGCUGAAACCCGGUGAGAAUUCGAGCGUGGCGCGGGUGGGCCAGCAGUGUUUGGGGACCCGGAGCACUCUCCACAGCUGCUGGUCCAGGUGCUAAGUCCCUCACUGCCCAGCACCUGCAGCGCCGACCGGCCGCUCUUGAGUGCGGGGCCUGCAGAGCCCACGCCCACCCGGAACUCGCGCUGGCCCGUGAGCGCCGUGCCGCAGCCCCGGUUCCCGCCCGCGCCUCUCCCUCCACACUUCGCCGCAAGCAGAGGGAGCCGGCUCCGGCCUCAGCUGGCCCAGAGAGGGGCUCCCUCAGUGCAGUGGCGAGCUGAAGGGCUCCUCAAGGGCGGCUGGAGUGGACGCUGAGGCCGAGGAGACGCCAAGAGCAAACGAGGGCUGCUAGUACAUUGUCACCUCUCACUGGUAACUACAGUUGCUGUCAGUUUAACUGAUGCAAGAGAAGAUAAGGAAGACAAGAUCUCAACCACUUUCAGCAAAGCUUUGCGGAGAAUGCAACAUCCUUCAAGACACCAUGAAGCUCCACGCAUCUGGUCAUCUUGUUUCUUCAGGGAAUAAAUUUAUUGUUCUCUGCUUCAGGUGACUGGAGGAGACAAAGUGAUCCCCC